rnacentral:rRNA from 1 species
GAUGAACGCUGGCGGCGUGCCUAAUACAUGCAAGUCGAGCGAACAGACGAUGAGCUUGCUCCUCUGACGUUAGCGGCGGACGGGUGAGUAACACGUGUAUAACCUACCUAUAAUACUGGGAUAACUUCGGGACACCGGAGCUAAUACCGGGUAAUAUAUUCAUCCGCAUGGUUCAAUAGUGAAAGACUGUUUUUCUGUCACUGAUAGAUUGAUCCCCACCGCCUUAGCUAGUUGGUAAGGUAACGGCUUACCAAUGUGACGAUGGCUAGCCGACCUGAGAGGGUGCUAGGCCACACUCGAACUGAGAAACGGGCCAGAGUCGUACGCGACGCAGCAGCAGGGAAUCGUCCGUAAUGGGAGAAAGCAUCACGGAGCGACGACGCGUGAGUGAAGAAGGUCUUCGGAUCGUAAAAAUACGUUAUUAGGGAAGAACACAUGCGUAAGUCACUAUGCUCGUCUUGACGGUACAUACUGAGAAAGACACGGCUAAAUACGU